rnacentral:rRNA from 1 species
CCGUCUACCCUUGGACAGCCUUCUGAAAGGAAGAUUAAUACAAGAUGGCAUCAUGAGUCCGCAUGUUCACAUGAUUAAAGGUAUUCCGGUAGACGAUGGGGAUGCGUUCCAUUAGAUAGUAGGCGGGGUAACGGCCCACCUAGUCUUCGAUGGAUAGGGGUUCUGAGAGGAAGGUCCCCCACAUUGGAACUGAGACACGGUCCAAACUCCUACGGGAGGCAGCAUG